rnacentral:rRNA from 1 species
CCUACGGGCGGCAGCAGUCGAGAAUUAUUCACAAUGGGGGAAACCCUGAUGGUGCGACGCCGCGUGGGGGAAUGAAGGUCUUCGGAUUGUAAACUCCUGUCAUGUGGGAGCAAAUUAAAAAGAUAGUACCACAAGAGGAAGAGACGGCUAACUCUGUGCCAGCAGCCGCGGUAAUACAGAGGUCUCAAGCGUUGUUCGGAAUCACUGGGCGUAAGGCGUGCGUAGGCUGUUUCGUAAGUCGGGUGUGAAAGGCGCGGGCUCAACCCGCGGACGGCACAUGAUACUGCGAGACUAGAGUAAUGGAGGGGGAACCGGAAUUCUCGGUGUAGCAGUGAAAUGCGUAGAUAUCGGGAGGAACACUCGUGGCGAAGGCGGGUUCCUGGACAUUAACUGACGCUGAGGCACGAAGGCCAGGGGAGCGAAAGGGAUUAGAUACCCUUGUAGUC